GACGAACGCUGGCGGCGUGCUUAACACAUGCAAGUCGAACGGAAAGGCCCUGCUUGCAGGGUACUCGAGUGGCGGACGGGUGAGUAACACGUGGGUGAUCUGCCCUGCACUUCGGGAUAAGCCUGGGAAACUGGGUCUAAUACCGGAUAGGAGCCAUUUUUAGUGUGAUGGUUGGAAAGUUUUUUCGGUGUAGGAUGAGCUCGCGGCCUAUCAGCUGGUUGGUGGGGUAAUGGCCUACCAAGGCGGCGACGGGUAGCCGGCCUGAGAGGGUGGACGGCCACAUUGGGACUGAGAGACGGCCCAGACUCCUACGGGAGGCAGCAGUGGGGAAUAUUGCACAAUGGGCGCAAGCCUGAUGCAGCGACGCCGCGUGGGGGAUGACGGCCUUCGGGUUGUAAACUCCUUUCGCUAGGGACGAAGCUUUUUGUGACGGUACCUAGAUAAGAAGCACCGGCUAACUACGUG
rnacentral:rRNA from 1 species